CAGUAGCCGCGGUAAUACGAAGGUCCCAAGCGUUGUUCGGAAUCACUGGGCGUAAAGGGAGCGUAGGCGGCGUGGUAAGUCAGAUGUGAAAUCCCGGGGCUCAACUCCGGAACUGCAUCCGAUACUGCCAUGCUUGAGGGUUGGAGAGGUAGCUGGAAUUCUUGGUGUAGCAGUGAAAUGCGUGGAUAUCAAGAGGAACACUCGUGGCGAAGGCGAGCUACUGGACAACAUCUGACGCUGAGGCUCGAAGGCCAGGGUAGCGAAAGGGAUUAGAUACCCGUGUAGUCCCUGUCUCUUAUAC
rnacentral:rRNA from 1 species